rnacentral:snRNA from 1 species
AACAAAACAAAACAAAAAAAAAAAAAACAAAAAACCACAGGUCAUUCUGCCACCCCAUUCAUCGACAGGGUAUUUGACUGAUGAGCUGACUGGGCAGGUGUCUCUUUCCUCCCUCGCCACUCCAAGUGCAUCCCCCCUGAAGCUGCAAAGAGGAGGAUAACCUCCCCUGAAUAGAGGAUAAUCGGUCUUCUGGUCAAGUGUAUAGGAGUAGCUUGAGUUUCCCCUACUAGACACUCUAAACAAGCUCUCAGGAAACCAGGUUGUCAUAUCCAGAAGGGAACUCAGAAUUGCUCCUUAAACAGUACUU